ACCCCUCUUUGCCCACUGUGUC
rnacentral:piRNA from 1 species